GCGCAUGCGCGGGGGCCAUAUUAGCCGCGGUUAUUUGGAACUAUAUAAAGUUCAGAAAACAUGUCUCGAAGAUAUGACUCCAGGACCACUAUAUUUUCUCCAGAAGGUAAAAUAGAAAUUGUUUAAUCUGCCUCAAGUUUAAAAAUAGAUGUGUUAGACUUUUAGAAAAAAAAAUUACAAACUAUUUUUGGUAGUUGCAGAGUUCAUCUUUUUUGUACUUUGAAGCAAUUAUGGUCACCAGGUUGGUUAUACCAUAGAAGAGUGAAAGUGGAAAUUUGUUUCUAGCUUGCUUCAUUGCUGAUUUCUUUUGGGCCGGUGGUGCAAGAGCACAGAGGAGAGUCUUGGCUUCUCACUGCUUUUGUUUUGUAGGUCGCUUAUACCAAGUUGAAUAUGCCAUGGAAGCUAUUGGACAUGCAGGCACCUGUUUGGGAAUUUUAGCAAAUGAUGGUGUUUUGCUUGCAGCAGAGAGACGCAACAUCCACAAGCUUCUUGAUGAAGUCUUUUUUUCUGAAAAAAUUUAUAAACUCAAUGAGUAAGUGAGAUUUUAGGAAAAAGUUUUAAAAAAAUCUC
rnacentral:sRNA from 1 species